rnacentral:tRNA from 1 species
GGAGAGGUGGCUCAGUGGUUAAGGGCACUGGCUGCUCUUCCAGAGGUCCUGAGUUCAAAUCCCAGCAACUACA